CCUACGGGAGGCAGCAGUGGGGAAUUUUGGACAAUGGGCGAAAGCCUGAUCCAGCAAUGCCGCGUGCAGGAAGAAGGCCUUCGGGUUGUAAACUGCUUUUGUACGGAACGAAACGGUCCGCUUUAAUACAGUGGGCUAAUGACGGUACCGUAAGAAUAAGCACCGGCUAACUACGUGCCAGCAGCCGCGGUAAUACGUAGGGUGCGAGCGUUAAUCGGAAUUACUGGGCGUAAAGCGUGCGCAGGCGGUUAUAUAAGACAGUUGUGAAAUCCCCGGGCUCAACCUGGGAAUUGCAUCUGUGACUGUAUAGCUAGAGUACGGUAGAGGGGGAUGGAAUUCCGCGUGUAGCAGUGAAAUGCGUAGAUAUGCGGAGGAACACCGAUGGCGAAGGCAAUCCCCUGGACUUGUACUGACGCUCAUGCACGAAAGCGUGGGGAGCAAACAGGAUUAGAUACCCUGGUAGUCCACGCCCUAAACGAUGUCAACUGGUUGUUGGGUGCAUUAGUACUCAGUAACGAAGCUAACGCGUGAAGUUGACCGCCUGGGGAUACGGCCGCAAGGUUGAAACUUAGAAAGUAGUAGACGUGAGAGAGCGACGACGACGACGACGGAGGAGGAGG
rnacentral:rRNA from 1 species